rnacentral:tRNA from 1 species
CCCGUGAUAGCUCAGUUGGUAGAGCGGAGGACUGUAGUGGUUUAACAAACAGUUAUCCUUAGGUCGCUGGUUCAAUUCCUGCUCGCGGGA